UUAAAAGUUCACAAGAAAAAAUGUUGUUUUUAUUUGUUUUUUUGGGACAGAUUUCUUUUAUAAAGCUGAAUGAUUAUAUUUAAGUUAAAGGGAACAUCUCUACUGUUUUGUGAAAUAAUAGAUUUUAUUCAUCUAAAAAAUUCUAAACUGGGAUUUCAUUUAUUUAGCAGAUUUUUGAAUCCAUAUGUAUUUUAGUCAUGUAAUUUUUUUCAUAUGCUAUAAGGAUUUUAGCAGUCGCUCAUUGUUUCAAGAAUCAAUAUUUUUUAGUGCUGGGGAUGGGGAUUUUCAAUAGACUUUAAAAGGGUUUAGUAUUUUACACUAUUAAAUUAUAUUUAAGGAGUAGAGACCCCCUUUUGCAGGCUAGUAUGAAGUGAAAAGUCAUCUUUUAUAUCAUUCCAUGUUCGCCCUUCAGUCAUGUCUUGUUUUUGGUAGUUUCGUUGUUCAUAGGUGAAAUGCAUUAUCUGGGAACUUACAUUAUCAGCUGGAGGAAGAAAAUACGGUGAAAUGCAUUAUCUGGGAACUUACAUUAUCAGCUGGAGGAAGAAAAUACGUCUUCAACAUUUAAUGGAUUCCUAAAAAUGUUUUCUUGUUUGCCUAAUGUGUCACUGACUAUCAAUGAUUGACAUCGACCAGUAUAAAAAUAAAAAUGUUAUUUCCGAAAUUAAAUGGUAAGUUCCCAGAUAGUCAUUGAUUGUUUUCUGCAUACUGUUUUCAUUUUGCCCAAUCUUUCAAGAUUUAUUUUUUAUAAUUUUAUCAAUAUAUGUUGUGAUUUAUGAAAAUAACAGAGAGAAAAAUCAAUUUUGUAAAUGGCAGUUUUUUAAGUGAAAAAUUUGUACUCAAAUGGAUUUUUUUUGCAUAUUUUGUUCAUUAACGCAUUAUCUGUGUUGGCAGUGAGAGUAGAAAGGAGCUUGUACCAAUUUUAGACAAGAAUUUCUUGAGGGAUGAAACAUUGAAACUUUAAAAUUACAGUCAAACCUUAUGUGAAGCCUCAUAAAAUUUUAUGUUUAACAUUGAUGUUUUUAUCAUAAGUUAAAAUGUUUGGCUUUAAACAAAAUUAUUUUUAUCAAUCAUAAGAACAUGAAAUAAGAUUUGACUUUAAUUUUACACACAAAUAUAUAGUGGUAGAUAUCUGUAGGCUUAGUAAGUUUUUUUUAUAAUCAGUCGCCAUACAUCCUAGCUUUUGUUUCGGUAGUAGGUCUUUAUGUAGGAUAGUUGUAGGUGAUUUAGAUGAGCCAUCUUCUACAGGCGCUGUGAAUCGCUGGGAUUUCAUAGUAACAUGUAGAUAACUUGUACUUUCAUAGCUAAGCAGGAAUUAUACACAAGUCUCUAAAUCCUAUUAAACAUUUAGUAAGGUUUGACUUUUGUUUUCUUCUCAAAAUUUUGAUAUUUACUAUGAUUUUUGGGGGAGGGGGGAUGAAAAGGGGACAUACUAUAUAUAACUGCAUAUUAUACACAGCAGAUUACGGUACAUGUGAAUGCUCUUAUUAUAUUUGAAUAUAGACAUAAUUUGGCGUUAAGAUCUAAGUUUUACUCUCACAAAUACAACUAAAGACUUUAUUUUGAUGAUAAGGAUAGUUCAAAAAAAAAAAAAUGUUAAGGUGUUAAAAAAUGAAGGAUUUGUCUCAUAUUUAGUGGACACUGUAAUAUACUAUUACUUUCGCCUUGAAAACUUAAAAAAAAGCAAAUAUUUGUUUUGCUGAAUGUCAGCUUUAUGCUUUAGCCUGAUUGCCACGCUAGAUAUUCUUUUAUACAUUGUAUGCAUAUAGUGAUACAAAUACCUUUAUUUUAUUAGCAUUUACAAAUCACUAAUGUAGCAUUUUACUACAUUAAGAAUCAUUAUUAACAUUCUAGUCUUAAUAAAACAUUCUCAAAUUAUUUCCAUUUAUACAUAAAUUCCUAAUAACAGUGACAUUAUUGUAUAUUUUUUUGUAUAUUUUUCAUAUUUCAUUUAUUGUAAAAUAAGACAUUUCCUGGGAAAGUCACUUUCAAAAAUCUUAGAUAUUACAACAAUAAAAUCUUAUUGGAAUAUCAGUAACCUUAUUCAAAGAAAAUUGGAUCGUAUUUUUUUUUUUUAGGCUUAUGUAUCGUAAUAUUUUUUGAUUAUGGAAUAUUAAACCACUGGUGUUAUUUUCCCGUCCAUUGACUCCAUUCCCUCAUUAGAUAUGUACAUUUAUUCUAUAUUUACCUUUGUGCUGGUAUAUAAGAUGCUAUUUUAAUGGCAGCUUUAAAGCCAAAUAUUAACUGUGAUAUUUAUUUGUAUAUAAACCGUCCAUUCCAAUUUUACAGUUGUUAAAAUAACCACCAUUGAUACAAAAUUUUACAUUUUAUUAUUAUUGAGGUGUAUUAAUCCAGAUUCAUGUUAGAACUUCUUUUUUAAAGGAGUAAUACAUUUGUUAUUUAUUUUUUUAUUCUUUGAUAUUUAUUUUGUAGAAUUUUAAAAUAUUUAAAAAUUACUGAAAUAAUUUUGCUUUUUAUAGAUGUUUUUAAAUAUAAUGUAGUAUUUUUUUUAAUUUAAUUUACACUUUUUUCCAAAGACAAGUUAGUGGUAAAAGUUUUUCAAAAUAGUUAUUUUACAAAUUUCAAAUAACUUUUUCCAGAAUCUAGGACACUAUGGGUAAUCUCAUUGCUCGUACACAAAAAUGAAAAUAACGUUACAUCAUUGGUUGAGUUUUCAUUGUUUAGAACGUUUUAAUCCAAUCACAACGUUUUGGUGCACGCUUUUGAAAAAUAUUACCCAGAAUGCAUUAGAUUCUGUAAGCGAAUUGAAAAGAUUGGAAGUCACAUUUAUAUUUUUUGGUGAUUUAAUUUUAAUAUACAAAGGUAUAUGAAAAUAAAUUGUAAGUAAAAAGGACACAAAAGAGUUUUCAUAUAUAUAUUUAUCAAUUAAGUACUAAUAGCGAAACUGAAUAUCUGUUUUGACAGAAUGCUUUUGAAUCAGAUUUAACUGACAUUGUUUCACUUUGUAGAAAUUCACAUUUAUAUAGUUGUUAUGAAUUUGUACAACAUUGUCUUAUUUUGAAUAAAAUGUUGAGCAUUUUUUAAAAGUAAAACAUUUUUAUAUUUAUUAAAUCAUUAAAAUAUAAUAUGUUGUUUAUUUUUCGUUUCUUUAAGAAAAAUAUUUAAGAUGUAGUAUGAUUGCCAAUGGGACUACUUGCCACCAGAGACUACAUGAAGUAGAAGUGUGCAGCUUGAAGUCACUGAACAGCCUUUACCCAUGAUCAAAACCUGUACCACAUAGCAAGCAAUGAAAACUCUUGAAAUGACAAAAUUUCUAUGAAAAACGAAAAAGGCAACAGACUACAACCACUGAAUUACAGGCUCCUGACAUCAAUCCCUCCCCUGACCUGGAACAAUGGAACAACAGCAAAACAAAAAAAAAAACAAGAAUGUGUCCAUAGUACAUGGAUGCCCCAC
rnacentral:lncRNA from 1 species